rfam:Cyanobium gracile PCC 6307, complete genome.
GUGGGGGCUCCGGCUCGCACACUCCUCACACCCCCCGGCCCGGCGUGUCCGGGCUUU